rnacentral:tRNA from 1 species
GUGUUGGCUCAAUCAGGUAGAGCGGCUGACUUGUAAUCAGCAGGUUACGGGUUCGAUUCCCGU